rnacentral:rRNA from 1 species
UACGUAGGCAGCGAGCGUUGUUCGGAAUUACUGGGCGUAAAGAGUGUGUAGGCGGUGCUCUAAGUUUGUCGUGAAAUCUCCCGGCUUAACUGGGAGGGUGCGGCGAAAACUGGAGUGCUAGAGGGUGGGAGAGGAAAGCGGAAUUCCUGGUGUAGCGGUGAAAUGCGUAGAUAUCAGGAGGAACACCUGCGGUGUAGACAGCUUUCUGGACCACUUCUGACGCUGAGACACGAAAGCGUGGGUAGCAAACAGG